rnacentral:tRNA from 1 species
GUGGGAGUGGCAGAGUCUGGUCAAAUGCGCAGGACUUAAGAUCCUGUGGCUUAGUGCCUGCGAGGGUUCAAAUCCCUUCUCCCACA